rnacentral:rRNA from 1 species
UACGUAGGUGGCAAGCGUUGUCCGGAAUUAUUGGGCGUAAAGCGCGCGCAGGCGGUCCUUUAAGUCUGAUGUGAAAGCCCACGGCUCAACCGUGGAGGGUCAUUGGAAACUGGGGGACUUGAGUACAGAAGAGAAGAGUGGAAUUCCACGUGUAGCGGUGAAAUGCGUAGAUAUUGGGAGGAACACCAGUGGCGAAGGCGGCUCACUGGACCGGUUCUGACGCUGAGGCGCGAAAGCGUGGGGAGCAAACGGG